CAGGUGAGCUAGGGGGACGAGCCCGCAGCUCUAAGAACGGGUAUAAAAACCGUAAAAGUCCUGAGACAAUCCUGAAGUCUGCAGGGUGAGUGAGGGACCAGACCUUAGAUCCUGGGGGCAGGGACUGGGUGUUAGGGAUGGGCCUGAAAGUCCUCAGUUACUACGAGAAACAGGGGCGGAGCCUAAACGUUCAGAGGGCGGGACCUCCCUCUCUCUUCCACGCGGAGAUGGAGCUUGUAAUAGACGGCGCUGGGCCCUAAGGGGUAUUGUUUCCACCUCCUGUCCUGUCCUCCAGUGUGGGCCCUGAUGGGAUCGAAUGUCAGGCAAACCUAAGUGACGAUGGGAUUUGGCGUGAAGCAGACCUGGGUUUGAAUCAGAGAUCUUGGACAGAAUCUCUCUGCUCUCUGGGUUUCAGUUUCCUCCAGAACAGCUGCUUCAGGAUGCCCUUGUGAGCAGAAACCGAAGUGACAUCUGCAGAGCAGAUGGCCUGGCAGUUACCAUUCUGUUUCCAUGAGUUCAGCUGUUUCAGGUUCCACAUGUAAGUGAGAUCACGUGGUGUUUGUCUUUCUGUGUAUGUCACUGAGGAUAUAGUCCUCCAGAUAGGGCAUGUCAGAUUUGAUGAGAGGCAGGGAGUGUGAUGGGUGGGUACCGGGUGGUGGAUGGGAGAGUGCACUUGUUGAAUGUGACUGACUUGGAAGGAGUUGUUCAGUGCUUUGAUCCCUGGCCAGAGUAAGAGCCACCACUAAUGGCAGCACAGAAACAACUUUGACCAGAUGAUCUGUGAGCUGGCAACAAAGUGAGUCCUGACUCUUGAUCCCCCGAGGGGCCCACGUGGCAGGAAGGGAUGGUGCCUGAGUGUGUCAGUGAUUUCCUAAUGGAGUUAUGAGAAGAGCACUGUAAUUAGGAGAGGGUCUCCUGGACUCCUGAGAGCUCCUUCUGUCCCCUCAGGUGGCUUUACUGCCACCUUCAUCUUCUGGGCUUUUCUAUUUUGCCUUUUCUAGAAGCUCUCCCUCUUGAUCUUAAGUUUAUAGGACAUGGUGGGUGGGAGGCAGAUCCUGACAAGCCCAAUACACGUGAAAUCUCCAGGCUGAGGACGGCAGUGAGCAGUCACGCUCUUCCAGCCACAUUACAUCUUUUCUCACUGGUCAGGUGGCUAGUGACGUAGAGCUUCAGGACCACUCCUCCUCUGGAAAUAGUGGCACAGGUAAUUGUUAGAGGAAACCAUACACUCUGAAUCGGGGUGGGGGGGUGUCUCCUGGCUUCUUUUCUCCA